rnacentral:lncRNA from 1 species
CCAUGGCCGAAAUGACAAGUGCCCCCACUGAUUCCUACCAACUGCCUACCUGCCUCAAUCCUAAGCUGUCUGCCUCGGUCCUAAGCUGUCUGCCUCGGUCCUAAGCUACCUGCAUUCCAUUCGUAACUUUCGCUUUCCUCGCCAUCACACAGACACUCGCAACUGCCCAACCCGCCACCACCCAGAACUGCCCGCCCUUCAAAAACUGAAGGAAUUAAAAUU